rnacentral:rRNA from 2 species
UGAUUUUGGUCGCCAACGAGUGGCGGACGGGUGAGUAACACGUAGGUAACCUGCCCAGAAGCGGGGGACAACAUUUGGAAACAGAUGCUAAUACCGCAUAACAGCGUUGUUCGCAUGAACAACGCUUAAAAGAUGGCUUCUCGCUAUCACUUCUGGAUGGACCUGCGGUGCAUUAGCUUGUUGGUGGGGUAACGGCCUACCAAGGCGAUGAUGCAUAGCCGAGUUGAGAGACUGAUCGGCCACAAUGGGACUGAGACACGGCCCAUACUCCUACGGGAGGCAGCAGUAGGGAAUCUUCCACAAUGGGCGCAAGCCUGAUGGAGCAACACCGCGUGAGUGAAGAAGGGUUUCGGCUCGUAAAGCUCUGUUGUUAAAGAAGAACACGUAUGAGAGUAACUGUUCAUACGUUGACGGUAUUUAACCAGAAAGUCACGGCUAACUACGUGCCAGCAGCCGCGGUAAUACGUAGGUGGCAAGCGUUAUCCGGAUUUAUUGGGCGUAAAGAGAGUGCAGGCGGUUUUCUAAGUCUGAUGUGAAAGCCUUCGGCUUAACCGGAGAAGUGCAUCGGAAACUGGAUAACUUGAGUGCAGAAGAGGGUAGUGGAACUCCAUGUGUAGCGGUGGAAUGCGUAGAUAUAUGGAAGAACACCAGUGGCGAAGGCGGCUACCUGGUCUGCAACUGACGCUGAGACUCGAAAGCAUGGGUAGCGAACAGGAUUAGAUACCCUGGUAGUCCAUGCCGUAAACGAUGAGUGCUAGGUGUUGGAGGGUUUCCGCCCUUCAGUGCCGGAGCUAACGCAUUAAGCACUCCGCCUGGGGAGUACGACCGCAAGGUUGAAACUCAAAGGAAUUGACGGGGGCCCGCACAAGCGGUGGAGCAUGUGGUUUAAUUCGAAGCUACGCGAAGAACCUUACCAGGUCUUGACAUCUUGCGCCAACCCUAGAGAUAGGGCGUUUCCUUCGGGAACGCAAUGACAGGUGGUGCAUGGUCGUCGUCAGCUCGUGUCGUGAGAUGUUGGGUUAAGUCCCGCAACGAGCGCAACCCUUGUUACUAGUUGCCAGCAUUAAGUUGGGCACUCUAGUGAGACUGCCGGUGACAAACCGGAGGAAGGUGGGGACGACGUCAGAUCAUCAUGCCCCUUAUGACCUGGGCUACACACGUGCUACAAUGGACGGUACAACGAGUCGCGAACUCGCGAGGGCAAGCAAAUCUCUUAAAACCGUUCUCAGUUCGGACUGCAGGCUGCAACUCGCCUGCACGAAGUCGGAAUCGCUAGUAAUCGCGGAUCAGCAUGCCGCGGUGAAUACGUUCCCGGGCCUUGUACACACCGCCCGUCACACCAUGA